GAAACCUGAUAAUAGAAGUAGCUCCUGGGUAGAUUGCAAGUCUAGAUCGAUCUCAAUUGGGAAGAACAAUGAAGACAUCUCCCUUUGCUUUAUUCAUGUUUGUGUGGCUGCAUCUGGACUGGGUGAGCCAAGGAGAGAAGGUGGAGCAGCGGCCUUCUACCCUGAGUGUCCAGGAGGGAGACAGUGCUGUUAUCAACUGUACUUAUUCAGAUAGUGGUUUGAACUACUUUCCUUGGUAUAAGCAAGAGGCUGGAAAAGGUUUCCGGAUGAUUAUAGACAUACGUUCAAAUAAGGAGAUAAAUCAAAUCCAAAGAUUCAUUGUUGUGUUGGAUAAGAAAGCCAAACACUUCUCCCUGAACAUUACAGCCACCCAACCUGGCGACUCAGCUGUCUACUUCUGUGCAGCUGAUGCACGAUGCUUCCCAGACACCUGCAGCCUGUACUCAAACCUGCCACUGAGCUGAGCUGCUUCCUCUCCAUAGACUUCCCAGUAUACUGUUUGCUAUAUUUGUUUUGGAAAGCAGUAACUGUCAUAUAGUUAUUAAAAGCAUGUAAUAAAAAAGUUAGGUCCAUGAUGAUCUAGAAAGAGUUAGAAUGUUUUGUUGGUUGAUUAUUCUUAGUAAUUAUUUUAAAUUUGCAUUUGUGGUACAUUUAAGGUAUAAAAUAUGGUGUUUUGAUUAUCAUACACAUAGUGAAAUUUGGCAGAUGAUUAAAGAGAUGCAUAUGGAAAGCAUGGAGGAAGGAGCUUCCAACUCCAGAUAUUUGCAUGUUAUAGGUAAUCCUAAAAUUGCAAUUAAUGGAUUCUUAAAGGGAAUUAGAAUGGAUUUUACCUUGAAAUUCAGACUUUGAAGAUGAGUUCAGACUCCUCUCGCAUAAAUAACCCCUUGUGAUCAACAUAAUACUUAUUGUUGGUGGGUUUUAGACUCUUUAGUUAUCACAUUAUUUAUUUUUCUGAUUAUAAAACUUUAGAUGCCAAAUAUAAAAUAUGUAAAAUAACAAAAAAUGUGAAAUUGAUAAUUAUGUAUCUAGACAAUUUGUUUCUAACAUUUUGUCAAAGUAUAUGAAGAAGUCUAUAUGAAAAAUACACAAGUCCACAUAUCUAAUAUACAAUAUAAUAAUUCUAAUUACUCAUCUUAUAGUAUAUAUUUGUGUCAAAUGAAUAGUUUUUGUCAUUCUUUUCAAACAUACAAAAAAACACAAAA